rnacentral:snRNA from 1 species
GUGCUUGCUUUGGCAGAACAUAUACUAAAAUUGGAACGAAACAGAGAAGAUUAGCAUGGUCCCUGCACAAGGAUGACACACAAAUUUGUGAAGCAUUCCGUAUUUUU